UACGUAGGGUGCAGGCGUUAAUCGGAAUUACUGGGCGUAAAGCGUGCGCAGGCGGUUUGCUAAGACAGGUGUGAAAUCCCCGGGCUUAACCUGGGAACUGCGCUUGUUACUGGCAGGCUUGAGUGUGGCAGAGGGGGGUGGAAUUCCGGGUGUAGCGGUGGAAUGCGUAGAGAUCCGGAGGAAGACCGGUGGCGAAGGCGGCCUGCUGGGCAGUUACUGACACUGAGGCGCGACAGCGUGGGGAGCAAACAGG
rnacentral:rRNA from 1 species